UGAUUGCUUCCCCUCUUUCACCUAGCUGUCAGAGGGGCUUGAAAAUUGUGCCUCGGGCUCUCCAGACUGUGGGAAGACCUGUAGAAAUGCACUGAGAUUGUAGCAUUGGUGUAAAGCAAAAGCGCUCAGAUCCAAACUUGAACUUUCAAAGGAAAGGAACUUGCUGACAUUCUUCUUUGAGCAAACGUGGGCAGCAAAUCUAGGUAUCAAGGCAUUGCUGAUGCAAAGGAUAAAUAUUAGGCUGUCUAGAUUUUACUCAGCUUUGCCAGCGGGUGUGUGUUUUAAGUGAUUCACCACUUCUGUAGUAAAUGGGAGCUUUAUGAAGGUUAGUGAGUGUGAUGCCAAAUAGUUUCUUCAAUCAUUAAAUAUUUUUCAGCACCAACUGUUAGCAGUACUGGGGUUAUGUUCUGGGGAUGCAAAUGUGUAUAACACCCUAUCUCAUCUUCAUGAAAUUUAAGCGAGGAUCAGUGAUCUAUGGAAUGAAGCAUAAGAAGAGGAAUCCCAAAGACCAGGGAGACAGUGGUCCAAGAAUGACUUCCAGUGAACGUGACUCAGAAUUAUCAUGGCUUAGCAAAAUAAAUGCAGAGUCUUAAGACUCAAGAGUCAUUUGCUGUCAUUUUCCUAAUUCCAAGAUUAGUGUUCCAGACUGAAGCUUCUUCCAUCCUGGUUGAGUAUCUAGGCCACACUUCGAAUCUGGGAGCUCCAGGAUUCUACACUUAUGGUUGGGCAUUGCCCAAAACAAUUGAAUGAACCUCUUUAUUUGUACAUCGUAUAAAUAGUUUAGAACAUGGGCUGGAUGUUUCUGCUUUGCUUAAAAUGGCACUAGGUUUCAGCAAAGUGUUUCCCUCAGGUAGCUGAAUGGGG
rnacentral:lncRNA from 1 species